AGAUGCCCAGGUGCUGAGAAAAUGCUGCGAGCACGAAGAAAACCCGGAGCCCGGCUGCUCGAAGCAACCCGCCCCCUUCGCCACCUGAGCCCAAGCACUCCAGCACCGCUUGCUCUAACCAGCUGGGGUCAGCCGCUCUCAGAUUGCACCAUUUUCUUCUCAGCCCACCCGGGUGCCGAGACUAGGGAUCCCUCGGCCUCGUGUGGAAUAUCCCGUCCCGGCCUCAGCGUCCCGCGAUCCGGCUCCCCGCACUGGGGUGAAUGGGGCGGGGGAUAGAGGGGUGGGGGAGCCUGGGCGCCUCGGCUUCACCUCCCUACCUCCUCGAGCUGCAGAGGCUUCCGGGCCUCUCAGGCUCAGGCGACGCCCGAGAGGAGCGAGAGCCCAAGCUGCACCCCAGGGGCUCCAGAAAUCGCAUUGCCCGGGUGUGGGCGCCCGAGAAA
ensembl:antisense Gm26833 predicted gene, 26833